ACAAUACUCCUUCCGUCCGGAAUUACUUGUCGCGGAAAUGGAUAAAAAUGAAUGUAUCUAGAACUAAAAUAUGUCUAGAUACAUUCAUUCCUUUGACAAGUAUUUCCGGACGGAGGGAGUACAAU
rnacentral:pre_miRNA from 1 species